UACGGAGGUGGCGAGCGUUGCUCGGAUUUACUGGGUGUAAAGGGCACGUAGGCGGUCCGAUAAGUCCUGCCUGAAAUUCUUUGGCUCAACCAAAGAACGUGGUGGGAAACUGCCGGACUCGAGGAUUGGAGAGGCGAGCGGAAUUCCCGGUGUAAGGGUGAAAUCUGUAGAGAUCGGGAGGAACACCAGUGGCGAAAGCGGCUCGCUGGCCAAUUUCUGACGCUGAGGUGCGAAAGCUAGGGGAGCAAACAGG
rnacentral:rRNA from 1 species